rnacentral:rRNA from 1 species
AGUGAACGCUGGCGGUAGGCCUAACACAUGCAAGUCGAACGGCAGCACAGUAAGAGCUUGCUCUUACGGGUGGCGAGUGGCGGACGGGUGAGGAAUACAUCGGAAUCUACUUUUUCGUGGGGGAUAACGUAGGGAAACUUACGCUAAUACCGCAUACGACCUACGGGUGAAAGCAGGGGAUCUUCGGACCUUGCGCGAUUGAAUGAGCCGCUGUCGGAUUAGCUAGUUGGCGGGGUAAAGGCCCACCAAGGCGACGAUCCGUAGCUGGUCUGAGAGGAGGAUCAGCCACACUGGAACGUGGACACGGUCCAGGCUCCUACGGGAGGCAGCAGUGGGGAAUAGUGGACAAUGGGCGCAAGCCUGAUCCAGCCAUACCGCGUGGGUGAAGAAGGCCUUCGGGUUGUAAAGCCCGUUUGUUGGGAAAGAAAAGCAGCAGGUUAAUACCCCGCUGUUCUGACGGUACCCAAAGAAUAAGCACCGGCUAACUUCGUG